UUCCAUUGCGCGCAUCUAUUCAAAACACGAAAAUCCCCCAAAAUUCCUUGAAGAAAACAUCUAGGUUCUUGAUGUAGUCAUGGAACUUCUCGUCAUAUUGUUUUUGCAAGUACAUUGGUGUCUAAUGCUUGCAGAAUUUAUCGCCUUGUUUGUCCGUCUAAAAAGAAAGACCAAUGACAUUCAAACAGAAAUAGCGCAGGGCUAGAUCUAACCAAGUUUCUAUGUUUUAUAAGCAUCAUAGGUAUUCUGAGAGCAUUCUAUGUUCAUCAAGGUCCUAUUCCUCAUCAUUCUAAA
rnacentral:lncRNA from 1 species